GCUGGGCGUGGUGACCCACGCCUGUCAUCCCAGAAGCUUGGGAGGCUGAGGCAGGACGAUUGCAGGUUCAAAGCCAGCCUCAG
rnacentral:sRNA from 1 species